rnacentral:rRNA from 1 species
GGGUGGCCGCCGGGGGUCCUUCGUGACCUCGGGCCCGCGCCUGUCGAUGGCCCAAUAAACUCUUGCUAUUAAACGUGUCGUCUGAGUAAAACAAACAAAAUUAAAACAAAACUUUCAACAACGGAUCUCUUGGUUCUGGCAUCGAUGAAGAACGCAGCGAAAUGCGAUAAGUAAUGCGAAUUGCAGAAUCCGUGAGUCAUCGAAUCUUUGAACGCAUAUUGCGCCCCCUGGUAUUCCGGAGGGCAUGCCUGUUCGAGCGUCAUUAUCACCCCUCAAGCCCGGCUUGUUGUUGGACCCGGCGGGAGCUUCGCGCCCCCGCCCGUCUCAAAGAUAAUGACGGCGUCUGUGAGGACUCCUGUACACUGAGCUUUCGGGCACGUACUAGGCUAGAAGUCCAGACCCGGUCUUUUGUCGGCGUCCGCGCCGACACCCCCCCUUUUUAUCAAGGUUGACCUCGGAUCAGGUAGGAAUACCCGCUGAACUUAA